UGUAGGGUAGGAGCUCCAUGGCGGUGAGGUGUAUUGUAUAAAAGACCGUCAUAUCAACCAAGGGCCCAUUUAUGUAUUUAUUCACUAGGGUGCCAGAGGUGCAUGCAUGAAAACCAAGCUCCCUUGUCAGCUCCACAGAUGGCAGAGCUGAGUGGCCGCACAGCCCAAAGGGAGGCACUGGCCAUCCUUCUGCAAAAUGCAGCCUGCUUGGUCAGAAAACCUGCAUUUUGGACGGUGAUGAUACUUUCAUGGAUGGAUGUUAACCCAGUGCCGAGGGGACAUCCUGGUUCCCAGAGGGCUGACGUGCAGGAAGGUCCUACCGAGAAGGGUUUAAGAAUGAUUUAUAUCAUAUAGAAUAAUGGGAAGUUUCUAAAUCCAUAGAAAUAAAAGAUGUUUGGAGAUUUC
rnacentral:lncRNA from 1 species